AACGAACGCUGGCGGCAUGCCUAACACAUGCAAGUCGAACGAGAUCUUCGGAUCUAGUGGCGCACGGGUGCGUAACGCGUGGGAAUCUGCCCCUUGCUUCGGAAUAACAGUGAGAAAUUACUGCUAAUACCGGAUGAUGUCUUCGGACCAAAGAUAUAUCGGCAAGGGAUGAGCCCGCGUAGGAUUAGGUAGUUGGUGGGGUAAUGGCCUACCAAGCCGACGAUCCUUAGCUGGUCUGAGAGGAUGAUCAGCCACACUGGGACUGAGACACGGCCCAGACUCCUACGGGAGGCAGCAGUGGGGAAUAGUGGACAAUGGGCGAAAGCCUGAUCCAGCAAUGCCGCGUGAGUGAUGAAGGCCUUAGGGUUGUAAAGCUCUUUUACCAGGGAUGAUCAUGACAGUACCUGGAGAAUAAGCUCCGGCUAACUCCGUG
rnacentral:rRNA from 1 species